rnacentral:rRNA from 1 species
AGUGGCGGACGGGUGAGUAACGCGUAAGAAUCUAACUUCAGGACGGGGACAACAGUGGGAAACGACUGCUAAUACCCGAUGUGCCGCGAGGUGAAACCUAAUUGGCCUGAAGAAGAGCUUGCGUCUGAUUAGCUAGUUGGUGGGGUAAGAGCCUACCAAGGCGACGAUCAGUAGCUGGUCUGAGAGGAUGAGCAGCCACACUGGGACUGAGACACGGCCCAGACUCCUACGGGAGGCAGCAGUGGGGAAUUUUCCGCAAUGGGCGAAAGCCUGACAGAGCAACGCCGCGUGAGGGAGGAAGGUCUUUGGAUUGUAAACCUCUUUUCUCAAGGAAGAAGUUCUGACGGUACUUGAGGAAUCAGCCUCGGCUAACUCCGUGCCAGCAGCCGCGGUAAUACGGGGGAGGCAAGCGUUAUCCGGAAUUAUUGGGCGUAAAGCGUCCGCAGGUGGUCAGCCAAGUCUGCCGUCAAAUCAGGUUGCUUAACGACCUAAAGGCGGUGGAAACUGGCAGACUAGAGAGCAGUAGGGGUAGCAGGAAUUCCCAGUGUAGCGGUGAAAUGCGUAGAGAUUGGGAAGAACAUCGGUGGCGAAAGCGUGCUACUGGGCUGUAUCUGACACUCAGGGACGAAAGCUAGGGGAGCGAAAGGGAUUAGAUACCCCUGUAGUCCUAGCCGUAAACGAUGGAUACUAGGCGUGGCUU